UACGAAGGGGGCUAGCGUUGCUCGGAAUCACUGGGCGUAAAGCGCACGUAGGCGGAUUUGUAAGUCAGGGGUGAAAUCCCGGGGCUCAACCUCGGAACUGCCUUUGAUACUGCGAAUCUUGAGUCCGAUAGAGGUGGGUGGAAUUCCUAGUGUAGAGGUGAAAUUCGUAGAUAUUAGGAAGAACACCAGUGGCGAAGGCGGCCCACUGGAUCGGUACUGACGCUGAGGUGCGAAAGCGUGGGGAGCAAACGGG
rnacentral:rRNA from 1 species